rnacentral:lncRNA from 1 species
ACCCAGGAAGGGGUUGGAGGCCAGGGGACACCUCUGCCCAGGAAGCUGAACAAAGGCUGGGGAAGGAGACGCUGGGGAGUGAAAGGAGUUUCAGGAGCUGGCUGAGGAAUGGAGGGAAGCACAGACAGGGCUCUGACCCCCCAAGGGGGCAGUGGUGCUCCUGGGACCCCAAGAGGGACCUAAUUGGGGAGGAUCCUGCUGUUUGUGCCUGCAAGACCUGUCUGGGCCUGUGUGCCUGUCAGCUAAAUAAACCUUCUGCUUUACUGGCUGGCUGAGAGCCCUGGUGAAUGGCAGGAAGCCGGGGGUGCAGAGCCCUGACUUCCCCACACUCCGUGACAGGGACAGUGGGUUGAAAAGUCCAGCCUGGAGGUGACGGGGGACCAAGUCCUUGGCUGGAAGGAAGGGCCUCAGGACCCAGGGAAGCCGGAGGUGGGAAAUGGCUUCUCCUAGUAGUGCUGCCAGCCCAGAGUCCAGCCGUGCUCCAGUACAAAGAGGCUUGUACACCAGCCAACAUCUCGCCCAGCCUGGGGUCCCUGCGCCGCGGUUUCUCGUGGAAAUCAGGUGAGGAUGCUCUUAUCUUGGUUUUCUCUUUUGUCUGGGUGAAACGGUCCCCUUCCCCAUGGUCACAGCCUUCUGUUGGGGUGUUUCUCCCAGGACUCAGCCUAUCCCCAGAGUGCCAGCUUCUUGGCACCACCAGCAUUGAGGUGUGUGGUGUGUGCACAGCGACACUCCGAGAAAUUGGUGUUGAUAAAACUCGGUGUGGAAACCAGAGGGGGAUUUUCCUGCAGCUGUUCCCUAGCAAAUGGAGACAUACCUUGGAAAGGGGCCAGUGGGACUGGCCUUCAGCUUCUUGGUUCAUCACCAAAAAUGUUCUUUCGGUCCCCUGCUUUUUCCCAUCUAUCUCUGGGUCGUUCCUGGUGGGGAAAGUGAGGAGGCUAAGGGCACACUCUGCCUUCGCUGACUCCUUUGUUAAGUGGAAUGAUCAGUUGUGA